UACGGAGGGUGCAAGCGUUAUCCGGAUUCACUGGGUUUAAAGGGUGCGUAGGCGGGCAGGUAAGUCCGUGGUGAAAUCCCCGAGCUUAACUCGGGAACUGCCAUGGAUACUAUUUGUCUUAAUAUUGUGGAGGUAAGCGGAAUAUGUCAUGUAGCGGUGAAAUGCUUAGAUAUGACAUAGAACACCAAUUGCGAAGGCAGCUUGCUACACAGUUAUUGACGCUGAGGCACGAAAGCGUGGGGAUCAAACAGG
rnacentral:rRNA from 1 species